CACUAGCGCAGUGAACACCAAUCACGUUCCAGGAACUUUGACGCAAUUUGCAAAUGGCCGUGAAAAGGACUGAACUCGAGAAUCGAGGGUGUAUGAAAGGCUAAUGGUGGAUUGUACCGUGAUAAAAACUUGUGUAUAAUUCUAUAUUCAGUGUGGUGCUGUGCAAGAUACAAAAUGUGCCAAAAAGUGAGAAUCCAGUCUUAAUGUUGGUAUAGGACGCGCCCGAAAACCGCUGGAGCGACGAUCGAAGGGACAUUGCUGACAGAAGGAGGUCGUAGCGUUGCGUGAUAUCGGACGCGCGCGCGGUUGUCGAGCGGUCGUAUAUAGAGAGGCCAGUGGCUAAGCACCCACCAUGAAUGAAUUGGACAGCCUGCGACAGGAGGCGGAGACGCUCAAGAAUGCUAUCAGAGAUGCUAGGAAGGCGGCAUGCGACACGUCGCUGGCGCAGGCGACCGCCAACCUGGAGCCCAUCGGGCGCAUACAGAUGCGCACGCGACGCACGCUGCGCGGUCACCUCGCCAAGAUCUACGCCAUGCAUUGGGGCAGCGAUUCCAGGAACCUGGUAUCGGCGAGUCAGGACGGCAAGCUGAUAGUGUGGGACAGCCACACCACGAACAAGGUGCACGCGAUACCGCUGCGCUCCAGCUGGGUGAUGACGUGCGCGUACGCACCCUCCGGCUCGUACGUCGCGUGCGGCGGUCUAGACAAUAUAUGCUCCAUUUAUAGUUUGAAGACGCGCGAGGGCAACGUGCGCGUGUCCCGCGAGCUGCCGGGCCACUCGGGCUACCUCUCGUGCUGCCGGUUCCUCGACGACAACCAGAUCCUCACCAGCUCCGGCGAUAUGACAUGCGCCCUGUGGGACAUCGAGACGGGCCAGCAGUGCGGGCAGUUCACGGGGCACACGGGCGACGUGAUGUCGCUGUCGCUGGCGCCCGACCAGCGCACCUUCGUGUCGGGCGCCUGCGACGCGUCCGCCAAGCUGUGGGACAUCCGCGACUGCGCCUGCAAGCAGACCUUCCCCGGCCACGAGAGCGACAUCAAUGCCGUCACGUUCUUCCCAUCCGGGUUCGCGUUCGCGACGGGGUCGGACGACGCGACGUGCCGCAUGUUCGACAUCCGCGCCGACCAGGAGCUCGCCAUGUACUCGCACGACAACAUCAUCUGCGGCAUCACGUCCGUCGCCUUCAGCAAGUCCGGCCGCCUGCUGCUGGCCGGCUACGACGACUUCAACUGCAAUGUGUGGGACUCUAUGAAGAGUGAACGCGCUGGUAUCCUGGCUGGCCACGACAACCGCGUAUCAUGCCUGGGCGUCACCGAGAACGGCAUGGCCGUCGCCACCGGCUCCUGGGACUCGUUCCUGCGCAUCUGGAACUAAGCCCCCCCCCCACCCGCCCCACCCCGGACACCCCGCUCCACCCCGCCACUCGUCUACUCACUCACUUGCUAUACUAUUCACCUGCGAUGACGUAACAUGUUCUAGAUGGGCCUAGAUGCUUCCAGAACGUGUGACGUCAUCGCUGCCGUCGGUAGCGAGUGGAUGGUCAUAACUUGAAUGAAUUUCUCGAUGGUUAGCCCCAGUUUAGCCGGUGAUGUCAGUUUCUAGUUUUAUAUAUUCGAUAUCAAAUGCGGUGUGUGAAUGUGUUAGCUUCUAAUUUUGAUAUCGUAACGCUGACGAUGGUCUGUAUUUCCUCGUUCGGUUCGGCCAUCGCAGGCAUUGAGGAGGCUCAAUGAUUAACGAAAUUCGAUUUUGUGAGACCUCAAGAACUUUGGUCUUUAUUGUAAAGGGGCGGCUGUAACGGUUUAUUUACUAAACUCUACACCUGUAUAAAGACUUGUCCAGUCAUCUUGUAGUUUAUUAUCAUUAAACAAUAAUUUCUGAUCUGAUGCACAGAGGACUUCGUGUAUAUAAUGUCGUAUUGUGUUGUUACACUGGAAGGCACAAUAUACAGCGCAGUAUGUUCGUACAUUACAGCGCACAAAACAACGCACAUGCUUCGAAACUGCGCAAAUACACGAUACAAUACGACUCGGCCGCGUCUCACGGGAACAAACCCGUACAAAAAACUCGCUUUAUUUAUUUAUAAUUAUAAUUUCUAACAAUAUUAAAAGCAUUUAAACAACUUUUAGGGAGGUAUGUAGUUUACAUUUGUAUGUAUGUGUGCGUUAGAUGUGCGAGUGUGUGAGCGUCACUACGGAUCCAUUGUUCACUGCAUAACGUAUAUAAUUAUAAUAUAAUGUAAUGAUUGAUAUAUAAUUAACGAUAGACGCUGGACACCUUUCCACGGAGGGGUUCUAAGCUGCCGGAAACAUUUUCUGUUUAUUGGUGACAACAUCGCACAACAGAAUACUAUCUAUAAAAACUAUAAUUAAAGAACCAAAUAUUAAUUAUAAAUGUAUCUAUGCAUAACUUAUUGAAUGAGAACAUUAUUUUCGUUUCUCGUCACUUUAAUGUAAUCCUAUCGUGGGUGAGCUAUAUAUUUAAUAUAUGUUUUAGAUUAGUCAACACACCGGUUUGUUAUUAGUAAAGCGAGAUUCUAAUGAUCUCUAUUGACGAAAAUCAAUCAUUUUUUGUACCAACGUAAGGGCGUUUGUACAUGAGCGUAACGAGACGCAUUACAUCGCGAAAUUACUUACUCUCAUGUGCAAACGCCUUUACAUGACAUUCACGAAUUGUAAAAUGAGAUCUAAAUCUUAAUCUAGGCUUUAAGCGUACAAUUACAAUGAUUUAUACUUUGACAUGCAAUAUAAUUUAUCUAUAUCCAAUAUUAUUUCGUAUCAUUACCCCUUGAGCGCACACCAGUUACAUACUCGCUAGAAUUAUACAAAUAUCACUUAAAAACUGUAAACUUGUGUCGCUGUGUGUUACCGUAUAUUGUGGCUGGAAGUAGAAAAAGCGAAAUUUGUAUAAAUCUAUUCAGUAUCGUAACUUUCACCGACAUUCAUACUGAAUUUUAAAUUCUACAGUGCAGCUGAACAGUCAAAAUGCUGAAAUUUCCAAUAAGGCAUAGUGCAGUGUGCAACACCGUCAAAUAGAUGCAUUUCUUCUUUCUUCAUUCCUUAUUUGGCGUAGAAACUAUUUAUUUCUCGUGUAAAAAUUGUUUAUAAAGUACGUCUAAAUAUUAAAAGCCCUAAUGAUAUAGUGGGGUUAUUAAGCCACACAAGGGCUGCAUAAAUAACCAUUAUUAAAUAAAAACUAUUUAAAAUGGAUAUUCGCAACACUAUGAUAAAAUCAUCAGUUUAUUUGCGCGGAACUAACACUUAGAAAUUUGGCAAAAAUUUGAACACAGCAAAAAAUUAUCGAACUAUUUAUUAUCAUGGAAAAGGACUACUAUAUCCAACAUAGUGAAUUCUAGUCUUUAAAUAUAUAAAGAAGGAAAGUUUAACUUUGGGACGAUGGGAUUUUGGAGCGAAAAUUUUGAUCUUUUAAAAUGUAAGGGGUAUAUUUUCGAAGGGGCUGUAAUUUGGCCGUCACUCAACAGUAUUUUUGGCGUGAAAUACAAAUUAAUUGGAGGAACUUCUCAGGCAUUUUGUGUAUUGAUAUUUAAUCGUAAUAAGUUAAAUAUUUUUCUGAAUUUACUAAAUAUAAAACAAAUAUGUAUGUAUGUUGGUCAGUGGGAGGAUAAUAUACUUUAUUUCCAAAAUCAAUUAAAGAAUUUUACAUCUUUAGAUUUGGGGAAAUAUUUCUUUUGUUAAGUUAGCAAGUCUGUGAAGUUCCAACAUUUUAAAUGUAAACUUAUAUUGUUAGUUCUCGCGUGAACAAACAGGACUCAUCAUUAUCAUCACGCACCUAUUUUAUAUGUUUAUACCGCUUUCACUAUGAUUAUUAACGUUAAAUCAUAUUUAACUUACAUUGUAUUACGACUACCCACAGAAUUUACUAGCUAAACAUACUGCGCUUACGUUAUAUAACAAGGCGUAGUUUUUUAACGAGUAUUUUUUGUCCAGGAGUUAUAUUAAUGUAAGCUAAAUAUGUUCUAACAUCACAUGAUAGUACUUAGUCCGUCUUCGAUACAUUUUGAAACGUUUAAAGUUGAAACAUUUUCAAUCAUAGAUGAUUAAUUUUAAACUAAGCAUAAACGGUAGCGUUUUUAAUGUCAUGUAAGGGUUACCAUGUUAAAUGUUUCGUACAAGUUUGGCUCGUAUUCACGCAAACAUGAUAUGUUAUCCCUUUACUAUUACACGAGGGACGAACAUCAACGUCGUCCCCUAACGUUCAUUUUACUAGACUAAGCUAGCUUUAGGUACGUAAGGAUAAUAUACAUGAAUAAAAACUAGGCAUUUGUAACUCGAACAUUCUGUGUUGCUAACUGCAAAAUUUGAUGCCAAUAUAUUUCUUUGUAACACUUAGUUAUAUUCGUUGCAGUAUUUGUUGGGAUUUUAAGCACAAAAUAUAUUUUAAUUAUUGUUUGUCGGCUUUUUUAAUUAUACAAUCGAUGGAUGGUUGUCGCGCUAUUGUUUUUUUAUUAUUUUUUGUUUAAAUUAAGCCUUUUUGUCUUAGAUAGGUUAUAAUAUAGAUGUUUGUAUUAGGCAGACGAAGUCAGACGUGGCGACUGUGAGAGCUAAUAGUAUGAUUUGCUUUCGGAAACAAUGUUGAUAUAAUCAAGUUCAUUUCUAUAGUUUGUCGUGCUCAAUUAUCAUAAUAUUUAUAUUGCACAAAGGCGGCGCAAAACUGUAAACAGAUUGAAUAAUUUAACAAUAAAAGCUCUAAAGACAAACAGGUGAAUGUAAUUUAUUAAAUAAAAAAAUGGCAUAUCAAACAAUUGCUUCGCCAUUUUGUAUUGCAAGGCAAUCAUCGGGUAUAUCAUAUUGUGUGUGAACUAUUAUGUUGAUUAAACACGUUUUGAGAAUAUUCAAUAUCUAUGUCCACGCAUGCAUCUCUUUGUCUAUACGUAAGUCAUGUUGCAUGAUGGGGAUUGUUUGUCCAACGCCCGGCCCAGCCGCGUGUGGGCUCGCAUGCGGCUCCCGCAGCCCGCAGCACGCGUUGGACAAAUAAAUACGAUGUAAUCUGAAGUUAGCUCCGGUCUGCUAGUUUUACGCCUAGGAUAAGACUCUUUUUUAAAUAAUAAUAAAAAUUGUUUUCUACUGUAACGGCUUCUUUUCAGAUCAAUGUACGAUAACUAUAAUAUAGCAUUAUAUGAUAUGUAUGAUAUUUAAUGGAUAGUUUUGAUGGCUCAUAUUCGGUUUUUUGUCUAUUCAGACCAAUUUUUCUCACUUUUACAUCAUAUUAUUGGAAUGGACUGCCAUAUUUUAACCUGUAAACUAUAAAUAUACUUAAAAACGAGGGAUAACAGAUGGUAUGGUUAUCAGGGAUUAAGCCUAAUCUAGUAUGAGAUACCGGAACGUGACGCUAAAUCCUCGAAUUUGUUUGAAAGCUGAAUAUCCCUGGAAUUGUAUAUCAUAUUCCUUUGAAAACUUAAAGGAUUCGUAUACCUUAGUUAACUUUUUAUUUGCUAGUCCGCGUCUUUAAUAUGUUUAAUGAAAAUAAUUAUUCUUAGUGGUAUAAUACUAAUUAUAAUGUAUUGUGUAAAAUAUUUUUUUUAGUUAUUAUAUCAAUAAAUUAAAAUUUGUUUAUUUUAA
rnacentral:misc_RNA from 1 species